GAUGAACGCUGGCGGCGUGCCUAAUACAUGCAAGUCGAGCGAACAGACGAGGAGCUUGCUCCUCUGACGUUAGCGGCGGACGGGUGAGUAACACGUGGAUAACCUACCUAUAAGACUGGGAUAACUUCGGGAAACCGGAGCUAAUACCGGAUAACAUGUUGAACCGCAUGGUUCAACAGUGAAAGACGGUUUUGCUGUCACUUAUAGAUGGAUCCGCGUCGCAUUAGCUAGUUGGUAAGGUAACGGCUUACCAAGGCAACGAUGCGUAGCCGACCUGAGAGGGGGAUCGGCCACACUGGAAGUGAGACACGGUCCAGACUCCUAAGGGAGGCAGCAGUAGGGAAUCUUCCGCAAUGGGCGAAAGCCUGACGGAGCAACGCCGCGUGAGUGAAGAAGGUCUUCGGAUCGUAAAACUCUGUUAUUAGGGAAGAACAAAUGUGUAAGUAACUAUGCACGUCUUGACGGUACCUAAUCAGAAAGCCACGGCUAACUACGUG
rnacentral:rRNA from 1 species